rnacentral:lncRNA from 1 species
AAAAGAAUGUACGAAAGUUUGUUUUUCAUAAACUUAAACAAAGUACCUGAGAAAAGUACAAGCAGAAAAAAAUGACGAAUGGAGUUACUGGAAAAUGGAGCGGCGGGGUAAACAAAUACUGUACAUCAACACAACAUUCCAGCGCAAUUGCUAUUGUAAAUGCAACCGCAAACGCAAUCACUGUUACAAGCAAUAUUUUUAAACCCGAUCUGGACACUGAACCAGAUGAUUUACUGGGUUGCUGGGUCACUGGAUCG